AGGUUGCUCAGAUUCUCUUCGCCGAAGUAUCGAGCCUCUUUCGCUUAUUUCAGAUUUCUAGAAAUCCUUCGAAAGAGCGCAAAUUGUGGGAUUCUUGUCCGUCUUUGCUGACGAAAAGCGAGCAUUUCUGUAAUGUUCUGCUUUGCCGACAACAUCGUAACAAGAUAAGAUGUUCGCCAAAGUUGCCUGAUGCACUGUAGCUGCCUUUUUUUUCUUUUUUUUUUACCUGCUAAGCCACCAAGUUAUGCAUAUAAUGGAUUUAACUCCAUUCUGAUCUGCUCUGUGGGAAUCGAGAUGAGUCACAAGUGUUCGGAGCUCUUUGCCAGAGAUGUUUGGCGGCCCUUCUUGAGACGUACCCCCCUCUCCUCCCCCAAAAAACCAACUUCAGGUGACACUGAAAUGUGGACUUUGCUUUUUCAUUGCCCCCCUUUAUGUGUAGGUGUGCGCACACAUGCUGACAAUUGAUGCGUAGGGGUGUGGAGUGGUCAACUGAUGAGGCACUGUGGAGGCUGAGAGCUCUGGAGAGUGGUGUGUGGGUUGGAAGCCUCCUCUCCUCGCAAUGAAACACACAAACACACACACAAAGCUGGGGGAGGUGGAGGCAGCAGAGCUUGCUUCGCCGGCUGUCCAUUGAUCAGUGGAGAGGUUGGUAGACUUAAAAGAUCAGUGUGGAGACCGGUGGAGAGCAGAAAGAGGAGAUGGAGAGGAUGUAGACGGAAAGCAAAGGGGGGACAUUUAGAGGAAGAAAGACAGACAGAAAGAGGCAAAGUGAGUGAGGAGGCAGGGAUGAUAGGGGAAAUAAAGAAGCAGAUCACGCCGUCUGGGGUUGCCCCGGGGUUUUUACCCAGCCUGGAUGAAGCCUGUUGGACUCCUGUCAGACGUCGAGCAGGACAACAACUCUCCAGGAAAGACGAUGGAAAAAGUCGGACAGCAGCGUCCAUCUGUCCCCAGGAAAACUGAUGCUGCCAUCCGGGCUCAGUCAGCCAUCUUGUUUUGAAGUAGAACAACUGUAGAAAUGAGAUGUUGGAGGAAAUUUAGCUUCUUUCCCACAUGCACCUCCACAUAAAUGUCCUUUACAAGGUUAAAGCAUUGCUGUUAGAUACAUUAGAGCCAUGCUAGCAGCUACAUAAAGCUGUCUUUUGACAUAGCAACACUGUUAGCUCAAUGCUAACAGUGUUGCUAUGAGUGUUGUUAUGAGUUGUGAUUACAAGAUGUUGUGUAAAACCAAAUGUUUAGUAUUCAUGAAGUAGCAUUAGACAGAAGUCAUGACAACGCUGCUGCCAGAUAGUGGCGACAGGGAUGUUACUGUUGGCAUUUAGAAGCUAAUCCUAUAGCAGGCUAACUAGCAGGAUGCUUCAGGCAUAAUGAAAAAAUGUGGCCACUGAAAGUGUUAACAUUUUCCCUACAUGUUACAAAAUUACAAAUCAAACCUCUCCAUGAAUAAAAUGACAACAUAUGAACUUACAAUCCAGUGAAGAAUGAACUUCCCCUGCCUUAGCAAACAUGCCACAUCAGCCUGCUAGCAUACCAACGUAUGUGCUAAUUAGCAUAUUAAGAACACCUUAUGUAAAUAUCAGUAGUUUAGCAGGUGUUGUUUGAUGAAAUGACAUGCUAGUAAGAGUUAUCUACUGGGUAAUACACAUUUCUGUGCUACCAUGGCUUAAAAAAAUGCAUAUCCUUCUUUUAACAAUUAUCGUUUAGUGUAUUUAGAUGUUAGCAUGUCAGCUACCAUCAUUUUAUGACAACAGGACAUAUAGUGCGUCUUGCUAAUAAUAUUUACUUGUCACCCCUCUCCAAAGUGUCUCCAGAGGUUUUUAGCAGUUAAAGCUGUAAUUUUAGUUCCUUAUUUAUGCUUUGAAAGGUAAUAUAAUCUGAAAAACUCACAUAGAAACACACAGACGAAGAUGUUUUUCCACUGCUAGAUAAACAUCAAACAAUACAUUCUCACCUGUGAGGCUGCAGGAAGUGAGAAAAAGGUUUAAUGAGCCCUGCAGAGCCAGUACACCGCAAAAAAAAAAUAUCUCUGAUGGAAAAUUGACUCCAGCAAACCAACCUUUUCACAUGUUUCCGACAGAGGAAAUGCGAAGAGUGAAGGUGCAAGUGGGAAAAAGGCAUCUUCUGAGUUCAGACUAUGAAUCAAUUGCAUGAUUUUUUUAUUUUGUGAGGACAUUUUGUAAAUAGGGAAAAAAAUGCCUGCCAAAAAGCAUGAAUUUUUUGUUUCAUUACAAGCUGUACCCCACAUCCUCACCUGCAUUACAUCAGCAGUGGCCUCAGCAUGGAUUUGUUUUCCUCCUCAUCAUUUCCUGUCUUGGCCGGGCCACCAUUUUGGCUCCAACAGAGGAAGUGGAAUCACAGGGCGCCCAGCAGUUGCUCAGUAGUCAGUGUAGAUCCUGUGGGGCUGGCAGCAGCUACAUCUGGCUACUGGGUCUCUGCUGGCAGCCAUGUUAUUCAAGAAUCCUGACUGUACGCUUAUCAUAUGUGCGACUGCUUUUCUGGUGUACUUUGAGGGCUGUUUCUGAUGGGAUUAGCGUAUUAUUUCCUACUGGUGUUUUCUCUGUGUAGUUCACACCCUCUCUCUUUUGUGAUCUUGAGCUUUUAAGUUUUCUAAGAAAUGUCUCAAAUGCCCACCCACCGCGAGGAGAAAAAGCCCCCCGUGGAGUUAAUCCGAGGGUGCACGGGUACUUCAGAGGACAGCGGGAAUGUGUUUCUUGAAAUUAUAAUGAAAUUGAUGUACUGAGGAGCGUGGUGAGUUCUGGACCUGGCAUACAGUGUAGGAUUCUGUGUGUGUCAGUCUACAGCUACAUUGUCUGCUGGGUUUCAGGCCUGUACUCGAGAUACAUCUGUGUUUUUUUUCCAAUUUUUGUGAAGUGUCAACAAACAUGUAUGAAACAGCAUGGAUAAUUUGACAACUUUGUGUUUAUUGACUCAUCAUAAAACAUUCUUCAAACAAUAAAACAAUUUUAAAUGUC